rnacentral:rRNA from 1 species
UACGGAGGGUGCAAACGUUGCUCGGAAUUACUGGGCGUAAAGCGCAUGUAGGUGGAUAGAUAAGUCAGAUGUGAAAGCCCUGGGCUCAACCUAGGAACUGCAUUUGAAACUGUCUAUCUUGAGUACUGGAGAGGAUUGCGGAAUUCCUGGUGUAGAGGUGAAAUUCGUAGAUAUCAGGAGGAACACCGGUGGCGAAGGCGGCAAUCUGGACAGUUACUGACACUGAGAUGCGAAAGCGUGGGGAGCAAACAGG